CAUGGUUGUCGUCAGCUCGUGUCGUGAGAUGUUGGGUUAAGUCCGCAACGAGCGCAACCCUACGUUAGUUGCUAACAGGUGAAGCUGAGCACUCUAGACGAACUGCCGUUGACAAAACGGAGGAAGGUGGGAUGACGUCAAAUCAUCAUGCCCCUUAUGUUCUGGGCUACACACGUGCUACAAUGGCCGGUACAGACGGAGGCGAAGCCGCGAGGCGGAGCAAAUCCGAAAAAGCCGGUCUCAGUUCGGACUGCAGGCUGCAAUUCGCCUGCAUGAAGUCGGAAUCGCUAGUAAUCGCAGGUCAGCAUACUGCGGUGAAUACGUUCCCGGGCCUU
rnacentral:rRNA from 1 species